AGAGACCCCAUAGCUGCCCCAUAGAGACCCCAUAGCUGCCCCACUGCUGCCCCAUAGAGACCCUAUAGCUGCCCCACUGCUGCCCCAUAGAGACCCCAUAGAGACCCCAUAGCUGCCCCAUAGAGACCCCAUAGCUGCCCCAUAGCUGCCCCAUAGAGACCCCAUAGAGACCCCAUAGCUGUCCCACUGCUGCCCCACUGCGGCCCCAUAGAGACCCCAUAGAGACCCCGUAGCUGCCCCACUGCCACCCCAUAGCUGUCCCACUGCUGCCCCACUGCGGCCCCAUAGAGACCCCAUAGAGACCCCGUAGCUGCCCCACUGCCGCCCCAUAGCUGCCCCACUGCUGACCCAUAGCUGCCCCACUGCUGCCCCAUAGCUGCCCCAUAGCUGCCCCACUGCUGCCCCACAGCUGCCCCAUUGCUGACCCACUGCUACCCCUUAGCUGCCCCAUACAGACCCCAUAGCUGCCCCACAGCUGCCCCAUAGAGAUCCUAUAGCUGCCCCACAGCUGCCCCAUAGCUGCCCCAUAGCUGACCCAUAGCUACCCCAUAGCUGACCCAUAGAGACCCCACAGCUGACCCACAGCUGACCCAUAGGUGCCCCACAGCUGCCCCAUAGCACCCCAUCGAGCCCAUAGCACCCCAUAGAGACUCAUAGAGAUUCCAUAGGGAUCCAUGAAGCUCCAUAGUUGCCCCAUACAGACCCCAUAGCACCCCAUAGAGCCCCAUAGAACCCCAUAGUGCCCCAUAGGGACCCCAUAGUGCCCCAUAGAGCGCCAUAGAGCCCCAUAGACCCUCAUAGAGCCCCAUAGGGACCCCAUAGUGCCCCAUAUAGC
ensembl:lncRNA